rnacentral:rRNA from 1 species
GACGAACGCUGGCGGCGUGCUUAACACAUGCAAGUCGAACGGAAAGGCCCUGCUUUUGUGGGGUGCUCGAGUGGCGAACGGGUGAGUAACACGUGAGUAACCUGCCCUGGACUUUGGGAUAACUUCAGGAAACUGGGGCUAAUACCGGAUAGGAGCUCCUGCUGCAUGGUGGGGGUUGGAAAGUUUCGGCGGUUGGGGAUGGACUCGCGGCUUAUCAGCUUGUUGGUGGGGGAGUGGCUUACCAAGGCUUUGACGGGUAGCCGGCCUGAGAGGGUGACCGGCCACAUUGGGACUGAGAUACGGCCCAGACUCCUACGGGAGGCAGCAGUGGGGAAUAUUGCACAAUGGGCGGAAGCCUGAUGCAGCAACGCCGCGUGCGGGAUGACGGCCUUCGGGUUGUAAACCGCUUUCGCCUGUGACGAAGCGUGAGUGACGGUAAUGGGUAAAGAAGCACCGGCUAACUACGUG